GAUGAACGCUGGCGGCGUGCCUAAUACAUGCAAGUCGAGCGAACAGACGAGGAGCUUGCUCCUCUGACGUUAGCGGCGGACGGGUGAGUAACACGUGGAUAACCUACCUAUAAGACUGGGAUAACUUCGGGAAACCGGAGCUAAUACCGGAUAAUAUAUUGAACCGCAUGGUUCAAUAGUGAAAGACGGUUUUGCUGUCACUUAUAGAUGGAUCCGCGCCGCAUUAGCUAGUUGGUAAGGUAACGGCUUACCAAGGCGACGAUGCGUAGCCGACCUGAGAGGGGGAUCGGCCACACUGGAACUGAGACACGGUCCAGACUCCUACGGGAGGCAGCAGUAGGGAAUCUUCCGAAAUGGGCGAAAGCCUGACGGAGCAACGCCGCGGGAGUGAUGAAGGUCUUCGGAUCGUAAAACUCUGUUAUUAGGGAAGAACAAAUGUGUAAGUAACUAUGCACGUCUUGACGGUACCUAAUCAGAAAGCCACGGCUAACUACGU
rnacentral:rRNA from 1 species